CACCAGUGUGCUUUCCUGUGUUUAAUUUAUCUAUCUGAGCUCUGCGUUCAACUUACAUGUUUGUUGUUUUCAUUUAUUGUAGAAACCACACCAUGUGUGUGGUAAUAUUGAAAUAGGAGGGAUCAUUAGUGUCUAUAAAAGCUGUUGCCUGACUGCAGACAGAAACUUCUCCAGAUUCAUCUGAGAAUAUCAACACUGCAAGAGAAAACAUGAGGCCUGUCAUUGUGCUGUGCAUUGCUUUAAUGAUGGUUGCACUAUGUCAUGCUAAAUGUUAUAAAUUCUAUGAUAUCCAUGCAGCUUGUAACGGAAGAUGUAAGGAACGUUGUCGUCGACAUGAGUAUGUAGAUCUCACAUCAGACUGUGGUCAUGGAAGCCAAUGCUGCAUUGAUGCUGCUUCUGUCCGUGGUCCUCUAUAGAAGCCCAAAGAAUAGGUUUAUUCACCAUUACCUGUUAAUAAACUGUCAAAUAAGCAAUACACCUCAUAUGUUUUUGCAUUUGAUAAGUUUUAAGUAAUUUUUAUUUUAUUGGUUUAUUUGAUAGGGACCGCAUGCAUAUUUAUGAACAUUGUGUAAAAAACACCAUGCAUAUAUGCCCAGUUAGUAAAAAUAACUACUUUUCAUCUGCAGUCCCUAUGCAGGUGACAGGACAAACAUAGAGACAGCCAGCAGUCAUACAGCACUCAUACACUAUAAAUUAAACACAUAAUGGUGACAUACAUUGACAAAACAAACAAACAAAACAAACAGAAAUACAUGAUGACAAAGACAUUAUUCAUCCACCUCUAUACUGCAUUCAGUUUAACAGUUAGUGUAUGGGUGAUGACAUGUGUGGUAGUUAAAAGUAAGUGCAUCUCUGGUUCUCUAGGAGCCACUGUUUUAAGUGAGUUUUAAAAGUGUUGAAUGUAGGACACUCUUAUUGGGGCUAUUCCAGGGUUUACCUCACAUUACUGACAAUACGUUUUGUCUAUAGACCCUUUCAACAAUAAAAACAAAAACAAUGCUUGAACGUUCUAUUUGGUUCCCAAUCUACU